CAUGCGAACCUGGGUAUUACGGGGAAAACUGUUCCAUGGACUGCCAUUGUGAUCUAUGCCAUAACGUCAAUGGCUCAUGUGCCUUGUAUUCAACACAGUGUCGUGCAGGUUUACGACUAGAAGGCGAACUUUGUACACCACAUACCUUUCCCACGGUAUCUGAUAAAGAUUCAAAAGGAAUACCAAUAAGUGCGUUUGUUGCAGUAGUAGUAUUCCUUGCGAUUGCUGUUGGGUGUAAUAUUGUACUUGCCACAUUGUACAUUAAGCAAAGGAGGAAACGGCAGUCCGGUACGGAGAACAAUACGAUAGUUACAAGUCCAUCAUCACUCAGAUCAGAUGAGUACGACACGAUAUCUCCACGGUUACAAGAAACAAACGACUACGAAAGUCUUCAAAUGGAAGCAAGAACAUAUUAAAAUGAUUAACAAAUCAUUAUAUCUAUAAUUACAUAUGAUUGGAUUGAAUGCCUUGUUGUGUUCAAUCGACAGAUGUGUAAUACUUAAAGUGCAUGCAAACAAAAUGUCUAUUAAAAUUAACGAUAUAGCGACCAUACUUUUCCAUAGGAACACAUAUAAACUCAAAGGAAUGUCCAAUUCAAUCUAAGACCUUCAAAAACGAUGAAGUGAAAAACGUUACGUUUUUAAAUAAAUAAAUCUAAAAUGAUUUAUACUCUGCAAGUGUGUAUUUUGCAAACAUUUGAAAUCAUAUGUUAAUGUCUAUAUUACAAGUCAAGGACCAUAUUUAUAUUUAAUUAGCAUUCACUUUUCGAUGAAGGCAUUUGAUGCAAAGUGCUAACGUUAACAAUUGUCAAGACAAUGAUGAAGAGAUAAGUUAUAAAUCACCACAUUUAUGUGGUUAGGAACCGGUUUAAAAAAUAUUGUGCUUAUGAAUGUUUUUAUUUUCGGAUUAUUCGGUUACAUAUUUCUCUUUAUGUAUGUUAUGUAUGGUAAAUUCUGAUAAUGAUAUGGCUUAUCUUUUUGCUAGUUCAAUUCAAUUGUUUAAUGAUUAUAUUUUACGUAUUUUUAUUUCAUUUUUAAUGUAUCAUGUGAUGUGUCAUGUGUGCGCUAUCUAAAGCAGGAGAGUCGAUAUUGUUUGUGCCUAUGAAGUAAAAUUAACCUAGCAUACGUCAUUCCUUAUUGAUAUACUGCCGAACAUAUUCCAUUCCGAAAAAUAAACAUUCGAAUUUAUAAGUAUUGAUAAAGUACAAAUCAAACGCAUAUAUCACUGAACAGUACUUCACACCAGACAUUUUACAAUUUUCCCAAUAGUCCAUUUAAGUUCGUUGUAGUCAUAGUGCAUUGUUAAGUAUCGCCUUGUUAAACAGUAUGAUAAACGAAGACUGAGGAUCAUAGUGUUAAGGGCAAGAACAAACUUGUGUUAAUCCUAUGUG